AUACGGAGGUUGCAAGCGUUAAUCGGAAUUACUGGGCGUAAAGGGUACGUAGGCGGUUAAAUAAGUUGGAUGUGAAAGCCCCGGGCUCAACCUGGGAACUGCAUUCAAAACUGUUUGACUAGAGUGUAUGAGAGGUUGGCGGAAUUCCAGGUGUAGCAGUGAAAUGCGUAGAUAUCUGGAGGAACAUCAGUGGCGAAGGCGGCCAACUGGCAUAACACUGACGCUGAGGUACGAAAGCGUGGGGAGCGAACGGGAUUAGAAACCCCAGUAGUCC
rnacentral:rRNA from 1 species